AAGCUCAGAUUGAACGCUGGCGGGAUGCUUUACACAUGCAAGUCGAACGGCAGCACGGACUUCUGGUCUGGUGGCGAGUGGCGAACGGGUGAGUAAUGUCGGAACGUGCCUAGUAGCGGGGGAUAACUACGCGAAAGCGUAGCUAAUACCGCAUACGCCCUUCGGGGAAAGCGGGGACCUUCGGGCCUCGCACUACGAGCGGCCGAUAUCGGAUUAGCCAGUUAGGGUAACGGCUCACCAAGGCGACGAUCCGUAGCUGGUUUGAGAGGACGACCAGCCACACUGGGACUGGAGACACGGCCCAGACUCCUACGGAGGCAGCAGUGGGGGAAUUUUGGACAAUGUGGGGAAACCUGAUCCAGCUAUCCCGGCGUGUGUGAUGAAGGCUCUUCGGGUUGUAAAGCACUUUUGGCAGGAAAGAAACGGCACGGAUAAUACCCCAGGCAACUGACGGUACCUGCAGAAUAAGCACCGGCUAACUACGUGCCAGCAGCCGCGGUAAUACGUAGGUGCAAGCGUUAAUCGGAAUUACUGGGCGUAAAGUGUGUGCAGGCGGUUCGGAAAGGUGAUGUGAAAUCCCAGAGCUUAACCUUUGGGAACUGCAUUUUUAACUACCGAGCUAGAGUGCAAGUCAGAGGGAGGAACGCGUAGCAGUGAAAUGCGUAGAUAUGCGGAGGAACACCGAUGGCGAAGGCAGCUUCCUGGGAUAACACUGACGCUCAUGCACGAAAGCGUGAAGAAGGGUUAUGAUUAGAUACUCCCCAUUCCACGCUCCUAAACGAUGUCAACUAGCCGUUAGUCUUUCGGGCCUUGGUAGCGCAGCUAACGUGUGAAGCGAAUCGCCUGGGGGCAUGGUCGCAAGAUUAAAACUCAAAGUGAAUUGACGGGGACCCGCACAAGCGGAUGAUGGAUUAAUUGAUGCAACGCAAAAACCUUUACCUACCUUGAUAUGUCUGGAAAUCCCAAGAGAUUUGGGAUAUGGUUUCUGCAAGAGAACCGAACACAGGUGCUGCAUGGUUGUCGUCAGCUCGUGUCGAGAUGUUAGGUUAAGCCUGCAACGAGCGCAAAUUCCUUGUCAUUAGUUGUUGCUACGAAAGGGCACUCUAAUGAGACUGCCGGUGACAAACUGGAGGAAGGUGGGGAUGACGUCAAGUCCCUUGGCCCUUAUGGUAGGGCUUCACACGUCAUACAACAGUCGGACAGAGGGUCGCCAACCCAGGGAGCUAAUCCCAGAAACCCGAUCGUAGUCCGGAUCGCAGUCUGCAACUCGACUGCGCGAAGUCGGAAUCGCUAGUAAUCGCGGAUCAGCAGCGUCGCGGUGAAUACGUUCCCUGGCCCUGCACACACCGCCCGGGUCAGCACCAUGAGUGGGUUUUACCAGAAGUAGUUAGGCCUAACCGUAAGGAGGGCGAUUACCACGGUAGGGAUCAUGACUGGGUGGUCGCAACAAGGUAG
rnacentral:rRNA from 1 species